AGAGCGCAGAAGCAUCCCUGACUCAGGCCUAACUAACACUCUGACCAGGUGCAGGGGCAAGAACUGAGUGUGCUGGGACAGAGAGUGGCCCACGAGGGGAGCUGGUCAAAGCUCAAGUCCUCAGAAGGAGAAAGAUAUCACCUGUGGGUAAGGACAGCCAGCUCAAGUCUCAGCAAGCAGGAGUGUGGUGAAGAACUUGGUUCUGAGCAGUGCCAGGAAGAUCUGAGGGUGCAGAAGCAGCAGGGCCAGCCCAGUCCAUGUUCUGCCCCAGUCCUGGAAGGAUAGAAGGAACAAGACCUAUACCCACUUGGCUGAGGUACCAUGGCCAGACUCUGCCUGAGCCUGCUGUUCCUGGUGGCCACUAUGACCCUUGUGUUCAGAGGUAUCCACACCUGGGGCAGGUCGAAGGUGGUGAGGAAGUUCCAAGACAUCCCAGAAAGUUACGUCUAUGUGCAGCAGGCACUGUGGUUUGCCAUGAAAGAGUAUAAUAAGACCAGCAAAGACAAGUACACCUUCAAGGUGGUAAAGGUCCUGAAAUCCCAGGAGCAGGUCACAGAGAGUUUGGACUACUUUCUUGAAGUCAAAAUUGCCCGAACAAUGUGCAAGAAAAUUUCAGGAGAAAAUGAAAACUGCUUAUUACAACAGGAUCCCCAAAUGCAAAAGACCUUGACCUGCCCCACCAAGACAUGCAGGACUCUGUACUAUUCCUACCUCUUCUGGGAAGGACUCACUGGGCCCUUCAGGCAGCAUGCAGUCUCAGUAGGCUGCAGGCGAGUCAGCGUGGCUGGAUGAGGGCCAGAGCUGGAGAUGAGGAUUUCUGAGAAUAACCAGUUUCUGGGCUCCUGCUAUCCAUGAUGGCUUCAGAUCACAAAGAGAUGUUUCUUUGCACAUUUAUUGUUGCAACCAAACCUUGGGAAUUUGAGUUCACUAUGCUGAAGAAACAGUGCGAAGAGAUCUAAUUAUCUUCUAGCAUGUUCGACUGUUUUCACUUCCAUUUUAAAGAAGCAAAUACACCUGCAAAACAUUUAAAUAAGCUGACCCACUGACUUCAUUUCUGUGGCCUUUUUGCUUUGUUGUGUGCCCUUCAGGGGCUGAAACUGAGAACAUGAUGCCUUUUUACAGUGUUGGUCAGCCUCUUCUAGGUGACUCACUCAUCUACUAGCAGGACAAUCUGCUACCAGUAGAUGGAAGAGAGUGUAAACCUGUUUCCUUAUCUCACUGAACUCUGAGCACAAAUUACUUUUCACUGGCAGCUGUUUCUGGAGAACUAACUGGAGGACGCAGUCCUCAACUGUUUCGAACUGAUGGGUUGUUUCUGCAAGAUUCUGAGGGGUCUGGCUGCCUUGAGAGUGUUCCUUCCAUGGAUUUCCACAGAAAUCUCCC